GAUUAAGAGACAGUCGGUAACUAGGAUAAGGUGUCCUCGUGGGCUUGUAUCCAUCUUUUAGUAGGUGUCUCGACAUUCAAUAGCUGUACAUUUGUCAGAGUAUCUCGCUGGACAUCGAGUCUCCUUUUGUUGUGUAUAGACGAACCUAAUGUGAAUUAUUAAGAUACAUGUGUAGACAGUUUAUAUACACUUGUUUGAUAUGCCAGUAUGAAGUGGCAAUGCUUAAUAUUAUUUUGAUUCUAAGUUAUGAUAUAUGACUUAGUAGUUUAUGAUGGAAUGAUGAACAUGUCAGAUUAAUAGGCUUGCUUGGGCUUAGUGGACUACAUCCAUUAGGCCCAUGCACCGGUCAUGACCCAGAAUUUGGGUCGUGACACCCAACUUGGCUUAACUUCAAAGCCCUAUAAAAACAACCUUUCAGAUGACUUUUAAUAGGGGAGAGAAUGAGACACCAGAUUGAGAGUUGAGAUUCAAGCCACAAAAUUAUUGAAAAAGGUCUCAUUGGAGCUAAAAAGAAAUCGAAGGAUUGAAGAAGAUUUGGAGAUCAAGAGUUUCACUCUUGGAGUUUCUUUAUUUUUUAUUUUUCUUGGUUUAGUAUUAAUGUUUAAACUUUAUUCAAUGACUAUGUGUGACUUGAUG
rnacentral:lncRNA from 1 species